rnacentral:rRNA from 1 species
CAGUAGCCGCGGUAAUACAGAGGGUGCGAGCGUUAAUCGGAUUUACUGGGCGUAAAGCGUGCGUAGGCGGCUUUUUAAGUCGGAUGUGAAAUCCCUGAGCUUAACUUAGGAAUUGCAUUUGAUACUGGGAAGCUAGAGUAUGGGAGAGGAUGGUAGAAUUCCAGGUGUAGCGGUGAAAUGCGUAGAGAUCUGGAGGAAUACCGAUGGCGAAGGCAGCCAUCUGGCCUAAUACUGACGCUGAGGUACGAAAGCAUGGGGAGCAAACAGGAUUAGAUACCCCGGUAGUCCCUGUCUCUUAUAC